AUUCAGAUGACGAGUCCAAAAAUAGGACGAAAUGCACAUCCUGACUGAAU
rnacentral:hammerhead_ribozyme from 1 species